UACGUAGGGCGCAAGCGUUGUCCGGAAUUACUGGGCGUAAAGCGUGCGCAGGCGGUUUGUUAGGUCUGCUGUGAAAUCCCCGAGCUCAACUUGGGAAUUGCAGUGGAUACUGGCAAGCUGGAGUACGGUAGAGGAAGGUGGAAUUCCCGGUGUAGCAGUGAAAUGCGUAGAGAUCGGGAGGAACACCAGUGGCGAAGGCGGCCUUCUGGACCAGUACUGACGCUCAUGCACGAAAGCGUGGGGAGCAAACAGG
rnacentral:rRNA from 1 species